GACGAACGCUGGCGGCGUGCUUAACACAUGCAAGUCGAACGGAAAGGCCCUGCUUUUGUGGGGUGCUCGAGUGGCGAACGGGUGAGUAACACGUGAGUAACCUGCCCUUGACUUUGGGAUAACUUCAGGAAACUGGGGCUAAUACCGGAUAGGAGCUCCUGCUGCAUGGUGGGGGUUGGAAAGUUUCGGCGGUUGGGGAUGGACUCGCGGCUUAUCAGCUUGUUGGUGGGGUAGUGGCUUACCAAGGCUUUGACGGGUAGCCGGCCUGAGAGGGUGACCGGCAACAUGGGGACGGAGAUACGGCCCAGACUCCUACGGGAGGCAGCGGUGGGGAAUAUGGCACAAGGGGCGGAGGCCUGAGGCAGCAACGCCGCGGGGGGGAGGACGCCUUUCGGUUUGAAAACGGCUUUCGCCUGGGACGAGGCGGGGGGGACGGAAAGGGUUAAGAAGCACCGGCUAACUACGUG
rnacentral:rRNA from 1 species